GCGGGUGUGGCGGAAUUGGCAGACGCGGCACAUCGGCAAUGUGCGGGGCGCAAGCCCGUGAGGGUUCGAGUCCCUCCACCCGCA
rfam:Gemmatimonadetes bacterium RIFCSPLOWO2_02_FTLL_71_11 rifcsplowo2_02_scaffold_62516, whole genome shotgun sequence.